UAGAUUUAGAAAAGAUAAAGGAGAACCGUCCAUCUCAUGAAUCAAAAUAAAUCGGAUCAAAUCUGAUUUUAAUCAUAUCCAAGUCUUGGACAUCAUUAGAAGAGAGGAAGAGACUAAAAUCAAAUCAAAUAUGAUUUUAAUGUCCAACUCUUGGACAAGGGGAGAGAGAGAAAUUUGUGUCCAUCUCAUGGACCAAGGAGGAGAGAAAAAUCAAAUCAAAUCUGAUUUCUAUGUCCAACUUUUGGACAUCUAUGUUAUAGAAGAAGGAGUGUCCAACUCUUGGACAAGGGAGAGA
rnacentral:lncRNA from 1 species